rnacentral:rRNA from 1 species
UCGGGAAUUUUGGGCAAUGGGGGAAACCCUGACCCAGCAACGCCGCGUGAAGGAUGAAGUAUUUCGGUAUGUAAACUUCGAAAGAAUAGGAGGAAUAAAUGACGGCACUAUUUAUAAGGUCCGGCUAACUACGUGCCAGCAGCCGCGGUAAUACGUAGGGACCAAGCGUUGUUCGGAUUUACUGGGCGUAAAGGGCGCGUAGGCGGCAUGACAAGUCACUUGUGAAAUCUCUGGGCUUAACCCAGAACGGCCAAGUGAUACUGUCGCGCUAGAGUGCAGAAGGGGCAAUCGGAAUUCUUGGUGUAGCGGUGAAAUGCGUAGAUAUCAAGAGGAACACCUGAGGUGAAGACGGGUUGCUGGGCUGACACUGACGCUGAGGCGCGAAAGCCAGGGGAGCAAACGGGAUUAGAUACCCAGGUAGUCCCUGAGCGGGCUGGCAAGGCGCAU